UACGAAGGGGGCUAGCGUUGCUCGAAUUACUGGGCGUAAAGGGUGCGUAGGCGGCGCGGUAAGUCGGGUGUGAAAUCUCCGGGGCUUAACUCCGAAACUGCAUUCGAUACUGCCGUGCUUGAGGACUGGAGAGGAGACUGGAAUUUACGGUGUAGCGGUGAAAAUGCGUAGAUAUCGUAAGGAAGACCAGUGGCGAAGGCGGGUCUCUGGACAGUUCCUACGUGAGGCACGAAGGCCAGGGGGAGCAAAACGGG
rnacentral:rRNA from 1 species